rnacentral:rRNA from 1 species
GUGAGUAGUUCAGAGUUUGAUCCUGGCUCAGGACGAACGCUGGCGGCGUGCCUAACACAUGCAAGUCGAGCGGGGACAAUGGCUUCGGUUGUUGUUCUAGCGGCGGACGGGUGAGUAACGCGUGAGCAACCUCUCUCUCAGUGGGGAAUAACACAGGGAAACUUGUACUAAUACCGCAUAGGACCACGACCCGGCAUCGGGUUGAGGUGAAAGAUUUAUCGCUGAGAGGUGGGCUCGCGUCUGAUUAGAUAGUUGGUGGGGUAACGGCCUACCAAGUCGACGAUCAGUAGCCGACCUGAGAGGGUGAUCGGCCACAUUGGGACUGAGACACGGCCCAA